AGUGGAAUAGCUGGGUCAAAUGGUGGUUCCAUUCCAUGUUUUCUGAGUUAUCUCCAUACUGCUUUCCAUAGUGGUUGCAUCAAUUUGCAGUCCUACCAGCAAU
rnacentral:pre_miRNA from 1 species